rnacentral:rRNA from 1 species
AUGUAUAAGUAUAAACGACUAGAUCGUGAAACCGCGAACGGCUCAUUAUAACAGCUAUAAUCUACUUGAUUUUGACAAUCCUACUUGGAUAACUGUGGUAAUUCUAGAGCUAAUACAUGCGCAAAAGCUCGGACACCCGUCAAGGGUGGAUGAGUGCAUUUAUUGGAGCAAGACCAAUUUGCGGUGGCGACACUGCAAUUCGUUGACUCAGAAUAACUAAGCUGAUCGUAUGGCCUUGUGCCGACGACGUGUCUUUCGAGUAUCUGCCUUAUCAACUUUCGAUGGUAGUGUAUUCGACUACCAUGGUGGUGACUGGUAACGGAGGAUAAGGGUUCGACUCCGGAGAAGGGGCCUGAGAAAUGGCCACUACGUCUAAGGAUGGCAGCAGGCGCGCAAAUUACCCACUCUCGGUACACUGAGGAGGUAGUGACGAAAAAUAACGAAGACAGCCCUUAGGGUGGUCUAUUGGAAUGGGUACAAUUUAAACCCUUUAACGAUUAGCAAUGAGAGGGCAAGUCUGGUGCCAGCAGCCGCGGUAAUUCCAGCUCUCAAAAUGCAUAGAUACAUUGCUGCGGUUAAAAAGCUCGUAGUUGGAUCUGAGAUCGUGCCGUCGGGGUCCACUCUUCGGAGUGCGUACUUUGGCGUGUGCGGCUAUAGUGUUGGUUGCGCGUGUCGUAGUCUUCAGUGAUUGCGGUGCGUAGGCUAACGAGUUUACUUUGAACAAAUCAGAGUGCUCCAAACAGGCGUUUUCGCUUGAAUGUUCGUGCAUGGAAUAAUAGAAGAGGAUUUCGGUUCUGUUUUAUUGGUUUUAAGACCGAGAUAAUGGUUAAUAGAGACAAACGGGGGCAUUCGUACUUCUGCGUGAGAGGUGAAAUUCUUGGACCGCAGMAAGACGAACUAMAGCGAAAGCAUUUGCCAAGAAUGUCUUCAUUAAUCAAGAACGAAAGUCAGAGGWUCGAAGGCGAUCAGAUACCGCCCUAGUUCUGACCGUAAACGAUGCCAACUAGCGAUCCGCCGGCGGAUAUUUCGCCCUGGUGGGGAGCUUCCCGGAAACGAAAGUCUUCCGGUUCCGGGGGAAGUAUGGUUGCAAAGCUGAAACUUAAAGGAAUUGACGGAAGGGCACCACCAGGAGUGGAGCCUGCGGCUUAAUUUGACUCAACACGGGAAAACUCACCCGGCCCGGACACCGUAAGGAUUGACAGAUUGAUAGCUUUUUCAUGAUUCGGUGGAUGGUGGUGCAUGGCCGUUCUUAGUUCGUGGAGCGAUUUGUCUGGUUUAUUCCGAUAACGAGCGAGACUCUAGCCUACUAAAUAGUUCGCACAUUGUCAACUUGUGUGCGCUUACUUCUUAGAGGGAUUUUCGGUGUUCAGCCGCACGAGAUUGAGCAAUAACAGGUCUGUGAUGCCCUUAGAUGUCCGGGGCUGCACGCGCGCUACACUGGCGAAAUCAGCGUGCUUAUCCUCUCUCGAAAGGGAUUGGUAAACCAUUGAAAAUUUGCCGUGAUUGGGAUCGGAAAUUGCAAUUAUUUUCCGUGAACGAGGAAUUCCAAGUAAGUGCGAGUCAUCAACUCGCGUUGAUUACGUCCCUGCCCUUUGUACACACCGCCCGUCGCUACCCGGGACUGAGCCAUUUCGAGAAAUUUGGGGAUUGCUGACUAGCGGUUCCGCAAGGGAUUGCUUUUCGGUGAAAACCAACUUAAUCGAAGUGGCUUGAACCGGGU